rnacentral:rRNA from 1 species
GAGCGAAAGCGACGUUCAACCGCAAAAGAAGCAGAGGGGGCUUAGUGGUGGGGUGACUGCGUACCUUUUGUAUAAUGGGUCAGCGACUUAUAUUCUGUAGCAAGGUUAACCGUAUAGGGGAGCCGGAGGGAAACCGAGUCUUAACCGGGCGUUAAGUUGCAGGGUAUAGACCCGAAACCCGGUGAUCUAGCCAUGGGCAGGUUGAAGGUUGGGUAACACUAACUGGAGGACCGAACCGACUAAUGUUGAAAAAUUAGCGGAUGACCUGUGGCUGGGGGUGAAAGGCCAAUCAAACCGGGAGAUAGCUGGUUCUCCCCGAAAGCUAUUUAGGUAGCGCCUCGUGAAUUCAUCUCCGGGGGUAGAGCACUGUUUCGGCUAGGGGGCCAUCCCGGCUUACCAACCCGAUGCAAACUGCGAAUACCGGAGAAUGUUAUCACGGGAGACACACGGCGGGUGCUAACGUCCGUCGUGAAGAGGGAAACAACCCAGACCGCCAGCUAAGGUCCCAAAGUCAUGGUUAAGUGGGAAACGAUGUGGGAAGGCCCAGACAGCCAGGAUGUUGGCUUAGAAGCAGCCAUCAUUUAAAGAAAGCGUAAUAGCUCACUGGUCGAGUCGGCCUGCGCGGAAGAUGUAACGGGGCUAAACCAUG